CGGGGUGGAGUAAUGUCUGGGAAACUGCCUGAUGGAGGGGGGUAACUACUGGAAACGGUAGCUAAUACCGCAUAACGUCGCAAGACCAAAGAGGGGGACCUUCGGGCCUCUUGCCAUCGGAUGUGCCCAGAUGGGAUUAGCUAGUAGGUGGGGUAACGGCUCACCUAGGCGACGAUCCCUAGCUGGUCUGAGAGGAUGAUCAGCCACACUGGGACUGAGACACGGCCCAG
rnacentral:rRNA from 1 species